AUGUUCUUGCCGCCAGGCUUGAAGCAGUCACUUCAAUGGAAAGCUCUGUGGUCCCUGCCAGCUUCUCUGGUCCACAGAUGUCUCAGGAUGCAGCCCCACCCUCCUUGGUCACAGCAGUGGGAUUUGCAAAUGAGCAGCACACCAGAGUUAUACCCAACCUUAAGGUGGACUUCAACAGAAGGUACCAAAGAAACCUGCAGACUUUGUAUAUUUACCCAGGGAUCACUUUUCUGGUGGUGAGAUGUAACCAGCUCUUUUGUGGAAUGGAGUAAUCACUGCCUGCCAGUAACACAACGCUACGAUGUGGAGAGAAGGAAAUGAAGGCUAGCUCAUCCAAAGGAAACUACAGGGGGAGUUUAGAUCGGCAGAAUGCAAUUACCCAAGUUGGAAUUCUUCCAAGACACCAAGGUAAACUCUAAAAGUGUGCAAAUAGAAUAGCAUUUCUCCACAAUUGCAGGACAACCAGCCACAUCUGUGACAAGAUGGGUGCUUGCUCUAUUUAUUUAUCUUUACUUUGUGAAUACUACUGUCCAAGUGCUGGCUACUGUCAUAGGAAAUGGAUAGUGUACACCAUUGGAUCAGAAUCAGAGGGACCAGAUCUAUUAACGGGCACCUCAGCUAUCCAAAAAGCAAAAGAAGACAUUUUUAGAAUCUGUUCCAAGAUGCAAUGAAUUUGUUGACUGGGUACUUAGGGAUACUCUGUUUUCCAGCCCCUCCUGCAUCUAUGUGUGACCACAUGAAUGAGUUCUGGCCGAUGGAGUGUGGAUGGAAAUCUAGACUUCUAGUCUGACCAUAAAAUACAUUUUUUCAUUUGUUCUCCUCUUCCUCUCCCCUCCCUCCUUCUCUCUCUCUCUCUCUCUCUCACACACACACACACACACACACACGUAUUCAUCUGAAAAUGAAGAAUUCAAAGAUCGUGGAUUAAGGAGUUCAACCCCACAAGUCCCUGUUUAGAGGACAGCUGUACAGAAAAGACACCGAAUCAUGAGCAAGAAAGCAAAACUGUGUCAAAAUGGGAGAGCUUUUGUUACAUCAGCUAGAGGUACCUUGACAUAUAUAUGUCUAUUAUAGAAAGGGAAUUCCUUCAAAUUCCAGAGUUAAGAAAAUCGAAAAGUCAGUCAACAAAGCUGGAGACAUAAUGAACAACAAUGAAGUCCUUGCUCUUACGAUGUGUAUGUUUUCAGUGGAUAUGACAAAUAAUGUGCAAUAAGCAUAAAUCAACAAGUAGAACAACUGA
rnacentral:lncRNA from 1 species